UACGUAGGGGGCAAGCGUUGUCCGGAUUUAUUGGGCGUAAAGAGCGUGUAGGCGGCCAGGUAGGUCAGCUGUGAAAACUCGAGGCUCAACCUCGAGACGCCGGUUGAAACCAUCUGGCUAGAGUCCGGAAGAGGAGAGUGGAAUUCCUGGUGUAGCGGUGAAAUGCGCAGAUAUCAGGAAGAACACCCGUGGCUAAGGCGGUUCUCUGGGCCAUUACUGACGCUGAGGAGCGAAAGCGUGGGGAGCGAACAGG
rnacentral:rRNA from 1 species